CCAAGGCAGUGGGUUUGGUUUUUUUUGGUUAAUCUUUAAGGAAGCAGAUCACCAGGUCUUUCUCCCAUAGUAUCCCUGGUUGGGUUCAAACCACCAACCUUUCAGUUAGCAGCCAAGCACUUAACCAUUUUGCCACCAGGGCUCCUUACAGGAAGACCUCCUCAGCUCCGCAGCUGUUAGCAUUUGACGCAGAGCUUGGCCAGCCCUGUGCUUCAGAGGAAAUGUCACAAAGAAGGAGGGGAUACCAAAGACAAAAUGAACAGAUCAGGGAAUUUUUGCCUAGAGUGAUUGAAUGUAUGUUCUCAGAGGUGGAAUAAUUUGGAAAAAGAAACAGAACGGUUUCACAACUUGAAGAAUGCAAUCAAUGUCACUGAAUUGUACACAUAGGAAUUGUCAAAGUGCUAUAUGUCCAGUUGUAUAUAUUUUUACCACAAUGAAAAAAAAUGAGCAAAUUGACCAAGAUGAGGCUGAGCACGGAGCGGGGGAAGAGGACAGAAAAGAGGCCAUCUUGAGUACAGCUUAUGUCCAAUGGAAGAAAAAAAAUGUGGUUUUUCAUUUCUUAAACGUUAUGAAAGCAUUUAGACACACUGAGAUAAAGAUUGUCCAUGUAGUUCUCCCCCCUGGAAUGCUCUUUCCUCUUCUCCCCACCCAACUCGGGCAUCACAUCCUCCUAGGGACAGUGCCAAUUCCCCUUCAUCACCUACUCUUGUCGUUAGCCAUGUUUGCAUCAGGUCUUUUUCUAUGUUUGGGGUGCGGGGGGAGUUCAGAGGUAGAUAAAACCUUAUGUGCCUACCAUGGAUUGAAUUGUCUCCCCCCAAAAUAUGUGUCAACUUGGUUAGGCCAUGAUUUCCAGUAUUGUGUGGUUGUCCUUCAUUUUGUGAUUGUAAUUUUCCUGUGUGUUGUAAAUCCUAGUCUCUGCCUGUGGUUAAUGAGGCAAGAUUAGAUUACGUUAAAGUGGAUUAGGGUGGGACUGUAACACCUUUACUAAGGUCACAUGCCUGAUUCAGUGUAAAGGGAGUUUCCCUGGGGUGUGGCCUGCACCACCCUUUAUCUUACGAGAGAUAAAAGGAAAGGGAAGCAAGCAGAGUGGGGGACCUCAUACCACCAAGAAAGCAGCACCAGGAGCAGAGCGCAUCUUUGGACCUAGGGUUCCUGCUCAGAGGAGCUCCUAGUCCAGGGGAAGAUUGAUGACAAGGACCUUGCACGAGAGCCGACAGAGAAGGGAAAGCCUUCCACUGGAGCUGACGCCCUGAAUUUGGACUUCUAGCAUAUUAGACCAUGAGAGGGGGGUUGUGAGCUGGUCCUUAAACAUUUCUCAGCAUGCCACUGAGAAUAGCAUACUUACAGGCAAGUUCACAUAUCAGGAGUGUACAGUUCAAUGAAUUUUUACAAACUGAACAAACUUGUAUGACCAGCAAAGAGGAAGAAACAGAAUGGCACCCCCUACUUGUGUCCGCUUCUAGUGGCUACCCAAAGGUCCUUUCUGAACUGCAUCAACUCUGAAGGCCAGAAAAGCAAGGUUUUCCGAAGAACUGGAUCACACAGAGUACAACGCUAGAGCAGAACACAUUAAGAAAAAGGAAAUUUCAAAGGGAGACACUGCACUCAAAGGGAGAGUGUGAGGCUUUACCAACGUUGACAAGGAGUGUGUAAACACAGGAAAAAUGCUUACGCU